GAUUAAGUUAUUAAGGGCGCACGGUGGAUGCCUUGGCACUAGAAGCCGAUGAAGGACGUUACUAACGACGAUAUGCUUUGGGGAGCUGUAAGUAAGCUUUGAUCCAGAGAUUUCCGAAUGGGGAAACCCAGCAUGAGUUAUGUCAUGUUAUCGAUAUGUGAAUACAUAGCAUAUCAGAAGGCACACCCGGAGAACUGAAACAUCUUAGUACCCGGAGGAAGAGAAAGAAAAUUCGAUUCCCUUAGUAGCGGCGAGCGAAACGGGAAGAGCCCAAACCAACAAGCUUGCUUGUUGGGGUUGUAGGACACUCUAUACGGAGUUACAAAGGACGACAUUAGACGAAUCAUCUGGAAAGAUGAAUCAAAGAAGGUAAUAAUCCUGUAGUCGAAAAUGUUGUCUCUCUUGAGUGGAUCCUGAGUACGACGGAGCACGUGAAAUUCCGUCGGAAUCUGGGAGGACCAUCUCCUAAGGCUAAAUACUCUCUAGUGACCGAUAGUGAACCAGUACCGUGAGGGAAAGGUGAAAAGCACCCCGGAAGGGGAGUGAAAUAGAACCUGAAACCGUGUGCUUACAAGUAGUCAGAGCCCGUUAAUGGGUGAUGGCGUGCCUUUUGUAGAAUGAACCGGCGAGUUACGAUUUGAUGCAAGGUUAAGCAGUAAAUGUGGAGCCGUAGCGAAAGCGAGUCUGAAUAGGGCGUUUAGUAUUUGGUCGUAGACCCGAAACCAGGUGAUCUACCCUUGGUCAGGUUGAAGUUCAGGUAACACUGAAUGGAGGACCGAACCGACUUACGUUGAAAAGUGAGCGGAUGAACUGAGGGUAGCGGAGAAAUUCCAAUCGAACCUGGAGAUAGCUGGUUCUCUCCGAAAUAGCUUUAGGGCUAGCCUCAAGUGAUGAUUAUUGGAGGUAGAGCACUGUUUGGACGAGGGGCCCCUCUCGGGUUACCGAAUUCAGACAAACUCCGAAUGCCAAUUAAUUUAACUUGGGAGUCAGAACAUGGGUGAUAAGGUCCGUGUUCGAAAGGGAAACAGCCCAGACCACCAGCUAAGGUCCCAAAAUAUAUGUUAAGUGGAAAAGGAUGUGGCGUUGCCCAGACAACUAGGAUGUUGGCUUAGAAGCAGCCAUCAUUUAAAGAGUGCGUAAUAGCUCACUAGUCGAGUGACACUGCGCCGAAAAUGUACCGGGGCUAAACAUAUUACCGAAGCUGUGGAUUGUCCUUUGGACAAUGGUAGGAGAGCGUUCUAAGGGCGUUGAAGCAUGAUCGUAAGGACAUGUGGAGCGCUUAGAAGUGAGAAUGCCGGUGUGAGUAGCGAAAGACGGGUGAGAAUCCCGUCCACCGAUUGACUAAGGUUUCCAGAGGAAGGCUCGUCCGCUCUGGGUUAGUCGGGUCCUAAGCUGAGGCCGACAGGCGUAGGCGAUGGAUAACAGGUUGAUAUUCCUGUACCACCUAUAAUCGUUUUAAUCGAUGGGGGGACGCAGUAGGAUAGGCGAAGCGUGCGAUUGGAUUGCACGUCUAAGCAGUAAGGCUGAGUAUUAGGCAAAUCCGGUACUCGUUAAGGCUGAGCUGUGAUGGGGAGAAGACAU
rnacentral:rRNA from 1 species